CCCCCGUUCAAAUUUGCAUGAAAAAGGAGAAAGAAAACCUGUUUUUGCUAGUCUAGGCAAUACAGUGUGCCAGAAGCUAAUGAGACAUGAAUAAGGCCAGAAAUGCACAUCUUUUCACUUCUUUAAACUUUCUGUCUUUCAGCUGCUUCUGACUUUUCCUCAGAUAUCAGCACAACUUUACUGUGCUGACAAAGUCUAUGUGUGUUCAUACGGCUAGAAAACACCAAAAAUCCCUUGUUUCAUCCUUUUUUCCCCUUCCAAUCUAAAUGUAUGGCUCAAGGUGAGAAACUGAAUUGUCUAUUUUCACAGUACUAAAUGGCAUUAUAAAAAAGGGAAGUGAAACUCUUCAGACAGUAAACUCUAGCAGGGCUUUAUUCUUCUUGUUCUUCUGUUUUUCAGUAUUACUCUCAAUAAUAUUUUCUACAAGGGACAGUGAAACUUUAAGAAUUUGAUCCAGCACUGAGAUUAUUCCAACAUUAAGACAGCAUUUUUAUAGGCUAUUUGAGCCAUUCCCAAUGCAGGCUUCUCAGCUCUGCCCACUGCCAGACACAUUCUCUUUUCUAGGCAAUAGAUCAUGGAUUUAUCCCACCAAACAAGAAAAUUUGACUUAGAGAAGUCACAGCCUUGCUCACUGUAGAAAUAUGCAAAUACAAUACCAGUUGUGAGAUCAAUAUUCAUUAAAAAGAUUGUUUCAAAAUAAAGAAAAAUAUCCACCUAAAUUAGCUCAAAUUCCACCCUUAUAGAGAAGUCCAAUAACAUGUUCAUUUUAAAAUAGCCUACAUAAAUGAGAGACUUACAAAGGAAAACUGAUUCAAAGCCUUACUCACUUUUUUCCACUGAAAAUCUUCAAGAAGCUCUGCAUUUACUGUUUGAAGAGUAAGUCCAUUAAACAACCUCAAAUGCUUGGGUGCACAUACUUAUACAAAACUCUGAUAUGUUCAUCCAUUUUAUUACUUUUGACUUAUAUAGAAAAUCGAAGAGACUCCAAAGUAAUAAUAAAGAUGAAUUCCUUUCUCACCACUCGAAAGAAAUCCAAAGAGUAAUUCUAAAUUCUCCUUUGAACACACCUCGAACAAGGCCUGUAAUUUCUCCUGUUGCUCCGGAAGGAUAAAAUACAAUAUUUUACAACAUAAUACAAUUCAUUACAAAAUUAAUUAUACAUAUAUAUGUAAUCACUACUCUGAGAAAACAUGCUAUGAGAUUAUAGAAACUGAUCUGGCAGGUGAUCUUCAUGUAAGAGGUAAAGAAAAACAGCAUUUACUUAACUGAUAACUAAAGCUAACAGAAUAAGAAAAUCUGACUCAAUAUUGCUCACAACCAACAAGACAGGAAUAAUGGAUUGCUUAGACCCUUCGUUCUACCACUGAUGCCUCUUUGGAUCCUUAUGAGCAUCAUGUAAGAAUUUCACUGGUCAUCACUGAGAAGCUGCACAAGGUUUGAUGCUGACCCCUGUAUAACUCUGGUGCAAUUCACCACCAAUUAAUUUAGUAUCAUAUAAUCAUGUAAUCAUAGAAUCAUAGAAUGGCCUGGGUUGAAAAUGACCACAAUGAUCAUCGAGUUUUAACCCCCCUGCUAUGUGCAGCAUCACCAACCAGCAGACCAGGCUGCCCAGAGCCACAUCCAGCCUGGCCUUGAAUGCCUGCAGGGAUGGGGCAUCCACAACCUCCUUGAGCAACCUGUUCCAAUGUGUCACCACCCUCUGAGUAUCCAUUAUGAGAAUCCAACUGUUCAUAAACUACAUAGGUCGCUCUAGAAGUAAUGCAUAUAUUUCCAUGGAAGGUACAAUGCAUACAAAGAACAAAAUAACACUAUUGAAUAGAGUGAAUUCUCAGCUACAAAAAACAAUCAUCACCAUUAGCAGAAUGUGUGGAUGAGCUGAUUGAGACUGUCUUCAGUUCAUGGUCUGACAGCUGUGCAUGGCUGUCUAGAACAUGGUUUGUAUUUCAUGUCAUUAUCACCACUGCAGAAAUACAAAACCCACCCCUUGUUGUGCUCAAACCCACUGUUUGGUCUCCAUAAACAUUCGGUAAGCAUCAAUGAAUGUCAGUAGGUGCUGCUUUUUCUUCAAGGAAGAAUUCAAUUACACACCUUUGCUCCAUACCCAUUUCCAUGUCAGAUGCCGUACUUUCAGACUGUCUUUCUGCUGUUGUCUGUCACACAGAACAAAAUGUAGCAGGACAUUGGUGGGAAGACUCAGUAUCUACUGUCAUCCCACCGACAUCUGCCUCUGACGUCGUGGCCCAAGACAAUAAAAUAGAAGGCAUUACUUUUGGAGCAUCCUUUGCAGUAGAAAUGCAGGAUGUGCAGCCCACUCCCCUUCCCUGGCAAAGGGUAGAAGAUUUUUCUGCACUUUGGCCAUUCUUACUCUCAUCCAUCACAGCUACUGUCAGCAGGAUGCAACAUUUUCUUUAGAAUGGAAUUAAAAUCUGAAUUUUCAUGAUGAUCCCUUGAGCGAUGAGGUAAACUCAGACCAGAAGUGUCGCUUAUCCUAUUGGUAACCAGAGCUGCAGUUUGCAGUUUACUAUAACUGCAAAUGGUGGGUAUUAAGGAGGAUUAAAAUAAAUACUCGGAGUGUUCAGAGCCCCCUCAGCAUCAUGACCUGAUGAACGCUGUUUCUCUGUAGUUGAUUAAACACAGAUUGAACUGCUAGCUGUUCCGUGCUUCCAUUGGCUCACUCUUCUUCAGAUGCACUAAUCUUGGAAAAAGCUGCCCACACCCUAAACUUUAUACCCCACAAUUUUGGCUUUGAUUUCACUGGAAUUAGCACACGAGGGAAGGUACAAGUUAUAUUCUUUCCAUGGUCUCAUGAGUGAUAUUAUUAUUUCAAGGCCAGGCUGGAUAUGGCUCUGGGCAGCCUGGUCUGCUGGUUGGCAACCCUGCACAUAGCAGAGGGUUGGAACGAGAUGAGCAUUGUGGUCCUUUUCAACCCAGGCCAUUCUAUAAUUCUAUGAUUUUAUGAUAAGGAUCAGGCUUGAGUCCUCAUGAUCUUUGUCAGAUGAUGGAGCCUCAUCCUCACAUGACUGUCAGCAGCUCAUUUCUCUGUGCCUUACUCAACAACCCCCAGAUCCACUGCAAAUUCAGUAGGAAUGACCAAACCCAUAAGCAAAACCAAUUUAUCACUCCAACUUGCUCCUUCAUGAAAACGCCAACCAACCAGCCAACCUCGGAGCAGUCCCGGCCAACCCAAACGAUGCCAUGCAACUGCCGAAGCGGCGACAGCUCUUCGCAUUGUCUGCAAAGCGUGGCGGGGGUCUCUGCUGGAGCGGAGCGAUGGGAGUUUUCGUUGUAGCAACAUUGCCACCUAGUGCUGCCGUGAUGCAGUUCCGACACCGGGAAAUCCGACUCUUGAACAACCGAAGCAGCAGAACAGGUUGGUGUGACUUCCUCAUUCCGUAUUUUAGCCACGCUGCCACCUCUCUUCCCUCGGUAUUCUCACUUUUAGUGAGAAAGAGGGAAUAUGCCUCUCCUGAAAUAACGGGAAUAACUCAAAGCUCGCCGGCUGGCUUUCACAACGGAGCUUUCUCUACAGUAUUUCCAAGUAAUUUUUUGGAAGCUGGUUCCAAUUUUCAGGCUACUGUUGAGGAGCUGGUUUGAACACAACAAUGGAGGCCCCUAAUUCAAUGUUGGCUUUGAAUGGAGGCAGGCUGUGAUGGCGAUACGUCACAACGAACUGGGAGGUGAGGGAGGAGGUAUGGAGGAGCGGACCCACCUAGAAAUGGCUCACCUCUGUGGUGGGUGUGGGAAGUCACUGGGUUUCAGAACAACCCAAUGGCUUAGCCUCACAUUAACUAAAGCCAUCCGUGAGAAACUGUCUUGUGAAUUUGCAUGAAACAUAUUUCUUGGGUUAGGCAGGAAAUCAAAAUUUCUUCAAGGAAGCUGAUACUAAAACCACUCUGAAAACGAAGUCUCCGAAGGCCUUACCUCACACAACACAGCCACAAACACCUGCUUCCGCUUCAGUUUCUCCUCCUAUUCAAAACUAAAGAGAGUAUUUCCAGAUCUCUGGAGCAGCUGUUCAUUUUAAGCCAGAUACGUAGCAGUAAGACGCUCACUGAUGGCCUGAGGAUGGGAAAACACUACAUUUAUCAAAAUAUUCUGAUUUCCUCACUUAGACAGUUGCUGGGUAGAGCAAUGGAAGUCUUUACCCAGAUUUUUCAUGCAGCAUUUUGAAUCCUGAGUUAGAAACCAGUGAGUGUAUGUGACAUAUUUCAGGAGAUGUUCGUCGAUAGUGAAUGCGAGAUGCAAAUUCAACUAAAGUCCACAGUUUAAUCCUCAUUAAGAGGCUCAUUGGUGUCCACUUUAUCAGGAUAAUGAGAUAGAAAACAUGAGUCCUUAGGGGGACCCUAAUUAGGCGUUCUGGCAGGCCUGUUCAAGCAAGUAUAUGAUUUGAGGGGAUUGCUACCAUUGCGUUUUGUUGCUGACAUGCAUUUGCAAAUGCAUCUUGUGCUUCUAAGCUUUCAGUGCAUCUGGGGAUCCAGUUCAAGUAGCUCUCAUGAUUUUUCAAAUCCUUCCUCCAAAUCCCUACAGCCUUUCAGUCCCUCUGCCCAGUCAGACAUCACCUAUAGGGCUCCUUAAAAAAUAUAUAUCCUUGUUUCGGCAGUCAGUAUGGGAAGCAGUGAAUCUCACAGAUCCGAUGAAGGCUGAUCUUAGGGCAAAAGCACAGAAGUGAAAUCUCUGGUCAGAACAUACACCCUAUCCAAGAUGGGUUGAAUGGUUUAAUUUCUCUGUGCCUCUGAUCCAUGCCUGUAAAAUGGGGGGAAAAUACUUUGCUUGCUUGUGCUCCUUUUCCUCUCACUACUAUUGUAUAUCUA
ensembl:lncRNA